ACGCAACGCAACGCAACGCAACGCCAAGAUGAUUAAGCUGUGAAAUUCCAAUGAUCGAUCCUUCAGACGGUGGAUCACUCGUCACAUAUCUACCGUUGUUGUUGUCGGCAACGCUUGAGUUCGCUCAUCAAUUAGUGCUUCGAUUAGCACCUGUGACAUCUAUCCAUCGGUCAUCAACACUAUAAAGUUACACGAUGUUGACAGACGGCACGCAGUCUUGGACUUGAAGUGAAAGCAUCUAAAAGCUGAAUCGUGGUGGUGUUCUGCUGUAUCCGCAAAAAUGUUCAAAUUGAUAUUCGUCGUGUGGUUUGCGUCUGUGCUGUGUGCGACGACGCUAGCCGACCCACAUCAUCCUCACAAAGGCGCCAUCAUUGUUGGAGGAGCACCCGUUAUCGUGCAGCCAGUGAUUAGACGUGCUCCCAUCUUGGUACGACAACCGGUGAUUGUGGAACGACCUGUAGUGGUUCGACAGUUCUUAGCUCCGCCCGCUGUUCUGAUAGGCUAGUGAUUACUAUUUGGGUUGAAUAAAAAAGUGCGGUAAAGAAAGUUUUCCGUUGGAGUUUUCCUGCUGCUUUAUGGGAUUUUUUUUACUAUAACCAGCCAAUUUCAGUUAUGUUACACUACCCGUCAAAAGUUUUGAAUCGCUGUACUAAGUAUUGCAACAACCAUACUGAAUAUUGCAACACCUCGAAAAGUUUAGCAUCACUUUAAAAGAGUAAAUUCAGGAUGUUAUAUGUCGAGAUUCUGCUUAUCUGCAUAGAGGCCCAACUCACAAAAGUUUUUCUGAAGGUCUCUGACAGUGUACAUGUGGAAUAAUGAACUAUUGAAAUUGUUACAAGUGUUUUAAAAAUCACUCCUAUCGGGGACUAUGUGAAUCUUUCGGAGCAGCAGGGAGAGCUAGUCAAUUUGUCCUGGUAAGCUCAAUGACCCGAUCAAAAUCUCAUCGAAUUUCUUUGAUAUGUUUGGGAUAAUGAAGUGAGAAAAAUGCGACCACAUAACCAUAAGCAUUUUUAGUUGUGUUUGAUAAAAAGCCCGAGCAACAUAAAUGAGGA